CGACCGGUACAGCGGAUCAGACUUGAAGGAGCUGUGCAAGAGCGCCGCGAUGGGACCCAUCCGCGACUUGCUCGCGAGCGAGGCGAGGGACUACGAAGCGCGCAAGAAGAAGCGCGCGCAAAACUCGGGUCCGCGGCUCGACGAUGCCGGACGCAUCGUCUCUCUGGACGAGUUCGAGGACGCCAACGACGACGACGACGCGGACUAUUGGCAACGUCCUUCGCGAUCGGCGAAGCGUCCGAUGGGCUUGGCCGAUUUCGCCGAGGUGCUCUCCAAGACGGGCACGAGCGCGGACGCCGCGGCGACGUACAGGCACGCCGAGCAGGAGCGCGCGUGGGAGCGUGACAGGCGCGGCGCGAGUGCGCACGCGGGCGGCUUCGGGACGGGAUCCCCGUUCGGCGGUGGCUCGGGUUUCGGCGGAAACUCCCCGGCGGUUGACGCUUCGCAGUUGAUGCAGUUUGUGCACGCGAUGAUGGCGCCGGGCGGCGGGAGCCAGGACGGGGGAAGCGGCGCGAACACACCGGGGGGUGGCGCGAGCGCGACGGGUUCCCAGGCUGGGGACGUCGAGAUCACGCCGGAGCUCAUCGAGAAGCUGAAGAAGCACAUGGCGGCUCAGGGGAAGGGCGCGGCGAGCGGGGGCGCAAACGCAAACUGACGAGAAGCGAUUUUCCCGCGUGAGAAGCGACUGUUAUUCGACACAUUCUUUCGAACCCACCAAACUCACAGCGUGUUUAGCCGGGUCGCGCAGACGACGCGCACGGUCUGAUCGAAAGACCCGCACACCGCCAGACCCUCCUUAUCAGGCGACCAGUCCCAGCUGCUGAUCGGCUGCGUGCUCACGUUCUUCGAGUUGACCAGGUUCAUCGUCCCCGCCACGCCCAUCUUGACCCCGUCCUUGUCCUUCACCACCCUCUGAUCCGGGUACUGAUACUUGUACAGCAUCAGGGUCCCGUCCCCGCCCAGAACCAUGCUCACCUCGCGGUUCUGCGGCAGGUGCUUCGCCCCCCACACCGUCGCGCUCACGGGCACCUUCUCCGUCACCGAGCUGAAACCCUUCGCCGGGUGUUGCGUCCGAGCGUCAAACACGGUAAACGCUGAUUCCAGACACGUCACCACGAACUUGUUCAUGGCGAUCUCCUUGCGGUCGAACUCCACGGAACACACGCCGUUCCUCACGUUGUGCUCGGCUCGCACCGUCCCGGUUCGCAGGUCGAACAUCUUCACGUCGCCGUUGUCGUACCCGGCGAGCACGCACCGCUCUUCGUCGUUGAAGGAGUUGCCAAAUGCGACGCUCCAGCAAUCCCUCGCCUUGACCCCUUCCGCGGGUUCGAAGAUGGCGACGGGCGCGUCCUUCUGGCGGACGUCCCACACGCGAACGCACCCGUCGCGGCCGCCGGUGACGAGUUCGGGCGGGCCGUAGCCGCUCCUCUGACCCCCGGCGCCGUCGAUGGCGUUGACGAUCGAGGUGUGCGCCUUGACGUCCAUGAGCGGCUUCUCCGGGCGCUGGAGAUCCCACAGCUGCAGGUAGCCCUCGAAGUUACCCGUCGCGAGGUGACGCUCGCGGAGGGAGGAUGCGCCGAAGGUUCCGCACUUGAAGGCCGCCUUCUUCUCGAGCUCCUUGUUGAGCUUCACGCCUUCGUUCUCCGUGUCGAGCGAGUAGAUCUGGAGGCAUCCCGUGGCCCGAGCGUACGAGCCGAGGACCACGAACCGCGCGCUGGUGGGUAUCCACUUGGUGUCGUAGGUGGUGAUGUUCACCGGCUUCUGGUACAACUCCAGGAUGUUUGGGCCGGCGGAAAGGCCCAUGGGGUCCAUGGCGACAGGGGUCCGUCCGUGUCGUCCCUGCCUCGAUCACUGGAGUUGACUCCGAUUUCCCUGACCCUUCGUUUGGAAUUCGCCUGCAGUGCCGACAGCGCGGGUUGCAGCGCGGGGGGGGGGGGGGGGGAACGUCAUGAAUCGUCGCGGCGGCGUCGCCGCUUUGAUCGCCCUCGCGAUGGUCACGUUCGUGUACCUCGCGUACGUGAGCGGCGUGGGGAACAUGUAUCUCCCCUCCGAGAGCGUCGCGUCGACCACCUCGUCGCCCGUCGGUCGAGUCGCGAUCCCCGCGCGGAUAGCGAACCCGAGCCCUCCGGCGCCCGCGCCGCUCGUAGACGAACGCCCCGAACCCGCUCCCGAGCCACGUGCGAGUCCGGCGCCGACGUCUCCGGCCGUCGUGAGAGACGACCGGAAAGAUGAGGGUCGUAAGCUACCGAUGGAGUGUCCAAUGGUGGACGUCGCCGAUCCAGAGAACGUCGCGGCGGUGGCGAGAUCUUUGGGAGAUGCCUCCGACGUCGUGGUCUUCGCCACGCAGGACAUCGAGCACUGGCGCGCUGAAUUCCUCGUCAACGUCAUCCUCAACCUCAUGUCCGUGAACGUCACGUCGGUGGUCACCGUGGGGAGGCACAAGCACACGUGCGAGAGCGCGAGACGCGACAACCCCGACGUCGUCCGAUGCUGCGUCUACAGCACGUGGCUCGACGGCCACGACGCGCUCAAACGUUGGACCUUAGCCGAGGACCACGCGUACGUCCUGUGGCUGAUCCGGUACAGGUUCGCGCUGGACAUCAUGCGCGCCGGUGAGGUGGGCGUGCUGGUGUCGGACAGCGACAUGUGGUUCGAACGCGACCCGUUCGAGCUGCUCAAAGACGCCGCCACGGGCCUCGGAACGCACUCGGUCGUCGCCAACGUGGAGGGCGAACCGUUUCCGUCCAUGAACGGCGGGUUGGUCUACUUCCGUGCCGACCUACCCGGUAAAGGCGGGCGGUACCUCCUGGAGGUUUUUAACGACCACGUGGAUGAUUUAUUGGCGGACGAAUCGCCCCCCGAGUGUCACAAGGAGCAAGGGGUCGGGACGCAGGUUGUCUGGGGCGCGAUGAUGGACCAAGAUAUCCUGAGAGACGCGGCGGAGACGGCGGUGGCGGGUGCGCCGCUGUGGUGGUCGUACACGCACCACGUGUGCCUGUUCAAGGGCGGGUACGACGAGGCGACCAAGGCGAAGAUGGAGAUAAAGAGCAAGCACCCGGAGACGCUGGACUGGAGUCGAUCGGGGCGCUCGCUGCCGCGCCCGUUCCAGUCGCACCCCGCCGUGGAGGCGCUCGGUGAUGAGCACCCCCUGAACGAAUCCGAGGAGAAGUACGGGAUCAUGAAAGUCCCGAACUAUGAGACCUGGCGCAACCUGACGAUACUCGCGGCGCCCAAGUGGAUGUUCGCGAACCACGGCGACGGCGACGGCUGGUUCGCGCUGCGUCCCCGACCGGGCGCCGCGUUCCACUGCAUGUCGCAGAACCAGGGCAUCAAACCGCGCAUGCUCCGCGCGUACGACAUGUGGCACUGGGACGUCCUGGGCGCCGGGCGGGGGAUACGCGUCGGGCAGGGACGGUACCUGAGCCUGGCGUCGGCGGCUUUUGGGCACUUUACCAAACGCGGGGAGUUUGCGAUGCAGGCGCACAGGCUCGCCGCGCUCGCCGCCGCGACGGGGCGAAUCCCCGUCCUUCCCAUGAUCCCCUGCGCGUCCCCGUGGCUCGAUGACUGGCGACGCCCGGACGACUGCUACGCGGGCGUCCUCGAACGCAUAAACGUCCUCGCGGGGACGUGCCCCGUCACCGCGCUGCGGCAGUUCCAGGGCCCCGACGCCGCGUACCCCGGCGACCCGGCGGCAGAGGGUUCGGUGGGCUCGCCGUGCUGUUACUUCGUUCCCCCGGGCGACGACUGCGAGGAAAAGUUCGCGGCGUGGGGCGCCGAGAUGACGGGCGAGGACCCGCACAAUCGACCCGGACGCACGGUGCGGCUGGACGCGAUCAUCGACGCGGCACAGCUGGUCGUGGACGCGGGCGACGCGACGGAGUACGCGGACCGAAGCUGGGUGCUCGGGGACGACUUCCCGCCGGACAACGCGAAGCACCCCACGGACGUGUUCGUGGACUUUGGGCGCGUCGUGAAGGCGAUUGAAGGGGACGGGGAUCAAAACACGCCGUGGGUGGAGAUCGACAUGCGGGGUAAGGACGCGCUGCCCCGGGUGGUGACGCAGCGGGGCGUCGACGAUAAAAGCCGGCGGAAGUGGUUCAUGGAUUACAACGCCGCGUGUCCCCUCGUCAACAGGGUGUCGCCGAUGGUGUGAGCGCGACCAGCUGUGCCGCGUCGAUGAGCGAGUCGGGGUCUACAUAGUUUAACAACAUUCUUUCGAAUCAAAAACAACGAAAUCUACAUCUGCGUGGUGUUCAAAUAAUGUCUUUCGCGCGCGCCCGACGCGAGACUGAGGCGCGCGGGAGACUCGCUAAUCUUACUUUGUCUCCUCAUCCGCCUUGACGGAUUCUCCGAAGGACUGCGCCUCCUCCUUGAGCUUCCGGAGCAUCAUCCGCUGCUCCUCCGACAUGGCGUCGAUGGUCUCCUUCGAUAGCUCUCCCGUGAACUUCGGUCCCGCGCCCUCCUCUUUGGGCGCGACGUUUGCGAGGUAUCGCGACCACUCGCUCGCGAAUUCGAUCCACCGAUCGUUCGUCAUGCUCUUCGAGUCCAGGUGUCGCCGAAACUCCUCGCGCGCGUACCCGUCGCCGAGGACGCGCAUGGGCGGGGGUAGGCACUUGUAGUGCGCCCGGAGUAUCUGCCUGUAGAGGCUGACGAUCGGCCUCGCCGCCUCGUUCAUCAUGUCUAAGUGGCUCUAAUCAAAAACUAGGGUUGGUGGGCUCCAGAUCGGGCCGUCGCGUUCACGCGGUGGGCGUGGGCUCGGCGUUACCGGUGGGGGACUGGAGCACGCCCAUCUGCUCCUGCUCGAGGGCCAUCAUCUGUUCCUCCCUGUGCAGCUGGAUCACGAGGGGCACCACGAGGAUGAGGAAGGAGGUGCCGAACUGCCACGCAGCCUUGCCGGUGUGCCACGCGAGCUUCUUGGACACGUGCCACGCGUCCGCGGCGCCGAAGGGCUUGGAGCUGCGGUUGGGCUCGGCGGCGGGCUGGAUUUCCAUGUGUUGAGAAAACCUGAUGUGUCUACACGAGGUGCGACACUCUCUGAGAAGUCUGCGGCCCGGACGAUGAGUGGCGGGGAUGCCUCGGCCCGAUCAAAAACACGGUUUUCCGGAGUGAUGACCCGUUUCAACUCGUUGAGAGCGGCCCGGUUUUCGGCUGCGGAGAUGGUUCGGGCGGUGCACAACUUCGCGAGCGUAUGAGAAGGUUCCUGUAAAUUUGGGCCAAAAUGGGAAACAACGACGCUUCGCGGCACUCCGCUGAUUAGGACACUGCCGAUUUCGGAGAGAUUUGCGUUAAAAAAUCAGAUCACGCUCGGAUUUUGGUGGCCCGAGAGACUGCAAAGCAUAGUGCUACGCAAGUUUGUUGCCACCUCAACGAACUGCUGCCGAGUCAUCUGAUAUCCUCCCUUUUUUCCAAAAACCCUUACGACGCCCCGCUUCCUGGAUUCCGUGUUCGUGAAAGCGCGUCGCUUCCCCCGUCGACCCCUCACUUCACGCCCUCGCGUAUCGAACCAAGCCGUUCGUUCGCGUCCGCUUUCGAGACCUCCGUCGUCCGAAAGUUCAAAGCGCCGGUCGAGCAGCAACCCUCGGGUUCCGUUCGCCUCUCUCUUUUUACAGUUCUCUGUAAAGUGCGGAACGCUUGUCGCAUCGCCGGCAACGUCGCAACAACCAGUGCGGGCCGGGACUGUAUGUGCUGAGGCCUUAACAGUCUCCCACGAGACCAACGCGUAAAGAGCGUUAACCUUCCCGGACCCCACAACCUAAGGUCGCACAGCAACCAUGGCUAAUAUGGCCAACAUGUUCGCCCUCCUCGACGAGGACGCUCCCAAGGCUGCCCCUGCCAAGGAGAACAAGCCUGCCGCUGCGGCUGCGCCCGCCAAGAAGGCGCCCGCCAAGACCGGCGACAAGCCCGGUGAGUCGACGUUCUAUCGCACAACUCGUUCCCCUCUUUGUUCACCAUCGAAACCCGGGUCCGUUCGCGUCGGUCGCCCACGCCACCGUCGCGGAUUCCCGGCGUCGAGCGCCCCGGGAUGCGAUUUUUUCCUCCGCGAGAUAACACUCGCUGCUGCGGAGAAAUCUCCCGGCGAUCGUCGCAAAACCCUCACCCCGGUUCCGUCGCUUAUGAACCCAUCCCCGCCUCUUCGAUCCUCUCCGCAGCCGGCAACCGCAACAACGGCAACGCCAAGCGCGCUCCCCGCGCCCCUCGCGAGUUCGAGGGCUCCGUCGAGGGCACCGAGGGCGGCCGCAGCCGUCCCCGCAACGCCGAUCGCCGCAAG
rnacentral:lncRNA from 1 species